AGUGUAGUAAAUUACUGUAUCUGAAUAUCUUAUUUUUGUAUUACAUUUAAAUUAUUGGAGCCAGGAAAAGUAAAAGCCGAUGCUUGAUUCAAAGAGAUAUUUAUCACAUUCUCUAAACUGAUGGGAAGAAUACACAGAAACAAUAGGGAUUACAACUCUCUUUGAUGCAGUCUCCCUGAUUUGAACCUGUUUUUACCUCUUUGAUAGAACAAGAGAUAAUCUCUCUGAAAUAAAUAUUUCCCCGAUUUAAACAAAAGAUAAUUGGGCAAAAUAAGGUACUAAACACAUAGUUAAUGUGGUAAAUAAUAAAUAAAUAUAAACAGAUAAAGCACUAAGAUUAUAUCUCUCUUUUUUUUUUUCCAAAGAAAAAAGGUAAUGAGCAGACAACCACUUGUAGUUUCGCAGCUGAAGUCUUCCUUUGACAGCCCACGGAUCAAUUAAAUCCUCUUCAAAUUAGUUUUGAUGUGUUAAUGUGUGAGUUCCCCAUCCCCAAGUUUCCAUGGACCAUUACUGGGGUUUUACGCUGGCUUUCCACUGAAUCGUUUCUAGUGUUUUGUUGCAUGUUAAUGCAAGGUCAUUUAAAGCUAUAUCAUUUAAAGCUAUGUAAAUACAGAAAAAAAACAACUCUAAAGCAGAGCAUUCCCUACUUGGCUUAUUUUCUCACACCGCCUUCUGUCUUCUGCUAGCUAAGAAAAGAUAGAAAAUAUUUGAGUCUUGCUUAAUUGUUCUCUUUGAUGGCUGGAUGUGUAAUCUUUAGCAAUACUUAGAUUAUCAAAAUAUAGCAGGUGGUCAUAUCCUGAUUUCCAUAACCUGUUCAAAAACACCUAGAUUCUCAAAAUUGUUAAUCUGUCAUAGAUCCUUAACUCUAAUACGGAGUGACUAACAGGUAAAGAAAGAAUAUUUUAAAUUUAUGACUGGGUAAUUCCUUUCACAUAUGAUGGAAUCCAAAACAAUACCUCAGUUUUAUCUGACAGGGAAUUACUGUCACGUCUGCCUCCCCAGUGCUUCCUGUUGGGGGUGAGUGGUCUAUUCUUGAGCAUGACAAAGUCUGAUUUCUGAAUGGCUGGUAGUGUCAAAGGGCCAUUAGUAUGCUAAGCCUUUUAGUGGCAUGGGAUAGCUCCAUCCUGCUUUCCUCAAUUGUUGCAAUUGGGCCACGUGACAAGCUGAUGAUUUCAAGGCAAGCUUUGGAAUCUUUGCUGUCUUCCAGAAAUUAAUAUUCCUUCUGGGUGAAAAACUGAAAAUUAUGAAUAUCUUGUCACUCUGAGACCCGGGAUAGCAGAGACUGGCUGGCUUUUCAAAACAACUUAUUUCUGGGAACUCCCCUCGUGGUCCAGUGAUUAAGAAUCCACCUUCCAAUGAAGAAGUCGUGGGUUUGAUCCUUGGUCGGGGAACUAAAGAUCCCACAUCCUGAAAGGCAACUGAACCCAUGUGCCACAAAUAAUAAACAGCCAAAAAUAAACAAGUAAAAGCAAACAAAACACCUUUUUUGUUUGUUUGUUUCCUCUAGGGCACAUAGAUAGGCCACACAUUCCUGCCUUCCUUGCAGUUAGCUGUAAUUAUUUGACUGUGUUUCAGCUGUAGGGUGUAUUUACUUAAUAGGUUGUGCUUUACCACCAGACCUGGCCCAUAAAAGUCUCCCAUGUGUACUCUUUCAUGCCCUUUCUCCCUCUGCCAGCCUGACUCAGAGCAUGCUGACUUUGAAAACUUAUGAUAAAGAGGGCAGACCCACAAGAAUUCCAGAAACGCUACUUACAGUACUGCUUUACGUACAGUAAAACUCCCCACCAAUCAAGAACACUUUCAUUGGACUUUUGACUGAGAAAUAAACUUGUAUUAUUUUUUAAGCCAUUGUGCAUUCCAUACUGGAAGUGGAGUGCAGCUGAAAAUGGCAAGUCCACACUUGUGACGCUGGUUUAGUGGUUGGGCACCAAGCAGUGAGGAAACUGAUAUUGGAAGCUGGAAAGAUAGACAACCAUGAUGCCUAGAAGCAAAACAAACACCUAAUGUGUUUGGAGACAAACAAGCAUAUUGUGUGUCUCCAGUGAUAGCUUAUUUUUUCUUUUUUAGGAGCUAGGGGAAGGAUAAAGAGCAGUGCUGAGGCCAGGGAGUAGAAAACUCAGGGGAAACCUACCAUUCCAAUGAUAGCUUAAAAUGUUACUCAAUCCAAGUUCCUACAA